CCUACAGGCAUGGCAAAAGCCACACUUCUCCUGGCUCUGUAAAAUAAACAUCCUCAAAAUGAGCACACUGCCAAAAAUACUGUACCUAUUUCAAACCCUACCUAUAGCCAUACCCAAAGCAUUCUUUGCCAAGCUGCGGAGUCUCUUUACCUCAUUCAUCUGGGCGCACAAGCAACCCAGGCUCUCAUACGAAGUGCUUACCAGACACAAGUCCUGUGGAGGCCUGGGGUUGCCCCACAUGGAAAAAUACUACAAGGCCACGAUGCUAACAAGAGUAUAUGAGUGGUCCUCGACAAUGACACACACCCCACGAUACCCCCAACACUCAAGACAUGGGA